rnacentral:tRNA from 1 species
GCCGGAGUAGCUCAGUUGGUAGAGCAACGGCCUUGUAAGCCGUGUGUCGCGGGUUCGAGUCCCGCCUCCGGCU